ACUCAACACUAACAAUUUAGAAUGAGCAAAUCAUCGCUACUAAAGUAUGCCUCUAUAUCGAGGAAACUUGAACAGUGAGUUAGCUCAAAACUUGUCCUUACGAGUUU
rnacentral:sRNA from 1 species